ensembl:snRNA U6 U6 spliceosomal RNA
GUGCUCGCUUCGGCAGCACAUAUACUGAAAUUGGAGCGAUACAGAGAAGAUUAGCAUGGCCCUUGCUCAAGGAUGACACGAAAAUUCGUGAAGCGUUCCAUGUUUUU